UACGAAGGGGGCUAGCGUUGCUCGGAAUCACUGGGCGUAAAGCGCACGUAGGCGGGUUCUUAAGUCAGGGGUGAAAUCCUGGAGCGCAACUCCAGAACUGCCUUUGAUACUGGGAAUCUCGAGUCCGGGAGAGGUGAGUGGAACUGCGAGUGUAGAGGUGAAAUUCGUAGAUAUUCGCAAGAACACCAGUGGCGAAGGCGGCUCACUGGCCCGGUACUGACGCUGAGGUGCGAAAGCGUGGGGAGCAAACAGG
rnacentral:rRNA from 1 species